AUUGCUGACGAGUCCCAUAUAGGACGAAACGCGCGUCCUGGAU
rnacentral:hammerhead_ribozyme from 1 species